rnacentral:rRNA from 1 species
GACGAACGCUGGCGGCGUGCUUAACACAUGCAAGUCGAACGGCAGCGGGGGAGAAGCUUGCUUUUCCUGCCGGCGAGUGGCGAACGGGUGAGUAAUACAUCGGAACGUGCCCUGUAGUGGGGGAUAACUAGUCGAAAGAUUAGCUAAUACCGCAUACGACCUGAGGGUGAAAGUGGGGGACCGCAAGGCCUCAUGCUAUAGGAGCGGCCGAUGUCUGAUUAGCUAGUUGGUGGGGUAAAGGCCUACCAAGGCGACGAUCAGUAGCUGGUCUGAGAGGACGAUCAGCCACACUGGGACUGAGACACGGCCCAGACUCCUACGGGAGGCAGCAGUGGGGAAUUUUGGACAAUGGGCGAAAGCCUGAUCCAGCAAUGCCGCGUGUGAAGAAGGCCUUCGGGUUGUAAAGCACUUUUGUCCGGAAAGAAAUGGCUCUGGUUAAUACCUGGGGUCGAUGACGGUACCGGAAGAAUAAGGACCGGCUAACUACGUGCCAGCCGCCGCAGUAA